rnacentral:rRNA from 1 species
GACGAACGCUGGCGGUGUGCUUAACACAUGCAAGUCGAACGGUAAGGCCCUUUCGGGGGUACACGAGUGGCGAACGGGUGAGUAACACGUGAGUAACCUGCCCUCAUCUCUGGGAUAACAGUCGGAAACGGUUGCUAAUACUGGAUAUGAGCUUGCAAGGCAUCUUGUGGGUUGGAAAGAUUUUUUUGGUUGGGGAUGGACUCGCGGCCUAUCAGCUUGUUGGUGAGGUAGUGGCUCACCAAGGCUUCGACGGGUAGCCGGCCUGGGAGGGCGACCGGCCACAUUGGGACUGAGAUACGGCCCAAACUCCUACGGGAGGCAGCAGUGGGGAAUAUUGCACAAUGGACGGAAGUCUGAUGCAGCAACGCCGCGUGCGGGAUGACGGCCUUCGGGUUGUAAACCGCUUUCAAUUGUGACGAAGCUUUUUGUGACGGUAGCAGUAGAAGAAGCACCGGCUAACUACGUG